rnacentral:rRNA from 1 species
UAGUGUGCUUGCACAUUAUUUUAGUGGCGAACGGGUGAGUAAUGCCUAGGAAUCUGCCCAUUAGCGGGGGAUAACGUGUGGAAACGCACGCUAAUACCGCAUACGCCCUACGGGGGAAAGCAGGGGACUCUUUUAGAGCCUUGUACUAAUGGAUGAGCCUAGGUCGGAUUAGCUAGUUGGUGGGGUAAAGGCCUACCAAGGCGACGAUCUGUAGCGGGUCUGAGAGGAUGAUCCGCCACACUGGAACUGAGACACGGUCCAGACUCCUACGGGAGGCAGCAGUGGGGAAUAUUGGACAAUGGGGGCAACCCUGAUCCAGCCAUGCCGCGUGUGUGAAGAAGGCCUUUUGGUUGUAAAGCACUUUAAGCGAGGAGGAGGCUACCUGUAUUAAUACUAUAGGCUAGUGGACGUUACUCGCAGAAUAAGCACCGGCUAACUCUGUGCCAGCAGCCGCGGUAAUACAGAGGGUGCGAGCGUUAAUCGGAAUUACUGGGCGUAAAGCGCGCGUAGGCGGUUUGUUAAGUCGGAUGUGAAAUCCCCGGGCUCAACCUGGGAAUUGCAUUCGAUACUGGCAAGCUAGAGUAUGGGAGAGGAAGGUAGAAUUCCAGGUGUAGCGGUGAAAUGCGUAGAGAUCUGGAGGAAUACCGAUGGCGAAGGCAGCCUUCUGGCCUAAUACUGACGCUGAGGUGCGAAAGCAUGGGGAGCAAACAGGAUUAGAUACCCUGGUAGUCCAUGCCGUAAACGAUGUCAACUAGCCGUUGGGGGAUUUGAUCCUUUAGUGGCGCAGCUAACGCGAUAAGUUGACCGCCUGGGGGAGUACGGUCGCAAGACUAAAACUCAAAUGAAUUGACGGGGGCCCGCACAAGCGGUGGAGCAUGUGGUUUAAUUCGAUGCAACGCGAAGAACCUUACCUGUCUUGACAUAGU